GCCGAUUAGCCCCUCCCCCAUUUUUCAUAGAUGUGGGCGGUUUUUAAGUUCUGUGCAAGAAUAUCGGGGGAACUGACACGUGCAAGCUGGAACAUGGUCAUUUUCAUUUGUGAUUCGUAGUGCUGUUCCUGGCACAAGAAAAAGGGUGAUGGAAGGGAAAAGAUGCUGCUUUUUGGUGGGGAGAAAUAAGCAGCUUAGUUUGCUAUGAUGGACAAGACAUCAGCAGAAAAAAAAGAUGGUUAACCGACUGACCAAUAGAGGGGGGAAAAAAGGAAAAGCAGUAAAACAAUUUAUACUUUCAAGCAGGAUUUUCCAAGACAUUUUGACUGCAGCUGCUGAGGGAAACAGUCCAGCUGUUAUGCCCCUGCACAGACUCACACUUGCUCCACACUGCUGCCUCAGCAGUCAGAUGCCCUGGCGUGCAGUGAUGGUGGGGAAGCUCUUUAUCCUCUACCCAUUGGCUCCAAGUCUUUGGCAUAGAGCUUCCACACUGUGACUCUGGAUGAAGACUGCAGGAGCAGCACUGGGACUUCCUACUAUAAGUGUGCUGGUGCCAAUGCUGCCUCGUGAUUAAUUGACCACCAACAGCAACUGUCUACUGGGCUGAACAAGGGGAAAGAAAAGGGGAGAAGAUAAUGUGCUGGAGAGUGUGGCUUAUAACUGCCACCCUAUUUAAACCACAUUUUACACCAAGCUCAUUGCUUUUUUGUAAGUGUUCCUACACUUGUACUUAGUGUUAUUAUACUGCUGUAUUUACUGGACUUCCUGGCACUCUGGCCUGCAUCUAUCUUAUGAACAUAUAACUGCCCUGAUCUUUACCGCUUGGACUGUCUGAUUCUGUCUCCUGAAUUACUCUUAUAUGAUUUGUUUGCAUCAGAAGUAAUACUACAUUUCACACUUACUAUUCCUGUUUGAGGGAGACAGCCUGGGUCAUUGAUUCUAGUGUGAGACUUGGAUUAGCUUGCUGCUGUAUCUAGCUACUGCCAGGAAAACUUAAAACAACAGUCAGUGAGCAAAAAAGAAUUUGCAUUUUUUGUCACUCACCUAGUGUGAGAUUAGGUUAACAAUAUACAAUUGCUAAAAGUUUUACUGCCUCCCUACACAAUCUUGUAAUCACCAAUUUAAAAUUGCUAUUUUGUUUAAACUGUUUGUGGAAGGAAAAUCUUUUUUGAGGCAGUGUGUUAUUCAAAAGAAGAAAAAAAAGUAUAUUGCCUAACUAUUAACACAUUCGCUGCUUCAUACAUCUUAAUGUGACACUGUUGCUUAUGUGUAGUGCAGUGUUACCACUGCCACUUGCACCAAUAAUUAACAGUUAUUAAAAAAUGUUUGUGUUUUUUUUUGACUGUUUGUAUAAAUAAGAUCCCUUUUGGGGGAGUGUGUUGUUCAUUUAAAAAUAAAAAAUAAGUCCUCUUGUCUAGCUGCUCCCACAAGGCACUCACGCAAACUUUGAGUGGUAGAUGUAGUCUGCUUCAUUCAUUCUGGUGACACACUGUUGUUUACAGUUUAUGCAUGGUUACACUGCUAGCCACUGCCACCUAAGACCAACUUACAGUUUGACUGAGUGCGUUAAGCUAAGUGUAUGCUGUGCAAGUAUGUGAGUCUUUUUUUUAAGAUGACACUCCACUGCGCAAUUAUACAUAUUGAUGUUUUCUUUUUAUUUGCAAGCCCUGUUAUUAUUUUGGUAGGCCCAUGGUUUUUUCUCUUUUUGGAGAGUUUGCCUCCCUAUUUGCUCUUGUUUGUUCAAUCUGGUAUUAAUAUAACCCUUUGUUCUAGUUGUUCUGUGUUAUUGCUCCACAAUGAGACAUGUCAGAAAUAUAUUUUUCCCAAAUCGUUUCUAUUAUUAUGGCAUAUUUACUGUAAAGGCACAUAAUGUUAGUGUGAUAUCUCUUUAAACAAAAAAAUCCUCAUUCCACAUAUGCUAUGCUUUAUCAACUGUGAACAAAUGUCGG
rnacentral:lncRNA from 1 species